GACGAACGCUGGCGGCGUGCCUAACACAUGCAAGUCGAGCGGGAUCCAUCCAGUAGCAAUACUGGUGAAGAUCUAGCGGCGAACGGGUGAGUAACACGUGAGAAACCUGCCCCGGACUCUGGGAUAACACGAGGAAACUCGUGCUAAUACCGGAUACCUUCUUUUGGUCGCAUGGCCAGCUGAAGAAAGAUUUAUCGGUUUGGGAGGGUCUCGCGGCCUAUCAGCUAGUUGGCGGGGUAACGGCCCACCAAGGCAUCGACGGGUAGCUGGUCUGAGAGGACGAUCAGCCACACUGGGACUGAGACACGGCCCAGACUCCUACGGGAGGCAGCAGUGGGGAAUCUUGCGCAAUGGGCGAAAGCCUGACGCAGCAACGCCGCGUGCGGGAUGAAGGCCUUCGGGUUGUAAACCGCUUUCAGCAGGGAAGAAAUUGACGGUACCUGCAGAAGAAGCCCCGGCCAACUACGUGCCAGCAGCCGCGGUAACACGUAGGGGGCGAGCGUUGUCCGGAUUUAUUGGGCGUAAAGAGCUCGUAGGCGGUUCGGUAAGUCGGGUGUGAAACCUCCAGGCUCAACCUGGAGACGCCACCUGAUACUGCUGUGACUAGAGUCCGGUAGGGGAGUGUGGAACUCCUGGUGUAGCGGUGAAAUGCGCAGAUAUCAGGAAGAACACCAGCGGCGAAGGCGGCACUCUGGGCCGGUACUGACGC
rnacentral:rRNA from 1 species